UACGUAGGGUGCAAGCGUUAAUCGGAAUUACUGGGCGUAAAGCGUGCGCAGGCGGUUAUAUAAGACAGAUGUGAAAUCCCCGGGCUCAACCUGGGAACUGCAUUUGUGACUGCAAGGCUAGAGUACGGCAGAGGGGGAUGGAAUUCCGCGUGUAGCAGUGAAAUGCGUAGAUAUGCGGAGGAACACCAAUGGCGAAGGCAAUCCCCUGGGCCUGCACUGACGCUCAUGCACGAAAGCGUGGGGAGCAAACAGG
rnacentral:rRNA from 1 species